rnacentral:rRNA from 1 species
UGCCAGCCGCCGCGGUAAUACGGAGGGUGCGAGCGUUAAUCGGAAUUACUGGGCGUAAAGCGCGCGUAGGCGGCUUGGUCAGUCGGAUGUGAAAGCCCCGGGCUUAACCUGGGAAUUGCAUUCGAUACUGCCUGGCUAGAGUAUGGGAGAGGGAAGUGGAAUUUCCGGUGUAGCGGUGAAAUGCGUAGAUAUCGGAAGGAACACCAGUGGCGAAGGCGGCUUCCUGGCCCAAUACUGACGCUGAGGUACGAGAGCCAGGGUAGCGAACGGGAUUAGAUA